rnacentral:rRNA from 1 species
CCCUUAGAUGUUCUGGGCUGCACGCGUGCUACAAUGGCGCUUGCAACAAGAUUGCCAACCCGAAAGGGUGAGCGGAUCUUUGAAGUGGCGUCGUGAUCGGGACAGUUGAUUGCAAUUAUUCGACUCGAACGAGGAAUUCCUUGUAAUCGCGAUUCAUCAUAUCGCGCUGAAUACGUCCCUGCCCUUUGUACACACCGCCCGUCGCUCCUACCGAUUGAGCGAUCCGGUGAAUGUUUUGGACUGGUGUCCGCAAGCGUUUCGCUUCGGACGCUACGAAAUUUCGUAAACCUUAUCGCUUAGAGGAAGGAAAAGUCGUAACA